UACGAGGGGGGCGAGCGUUGUUCGGAAUUAUUGGGCGUAAAGGGUGCGUAGGCGGCCUGACAAGUCUGAUGUGAAAUCCCUGGGCUCAACCCAGGGCCUGCAUCGGAAACUGUCGGGCUUGAGUAUGGGAGAGGUGAGUGGAAUUUCCGGUGUAGCGGUGAAAUGCGUAGAUAUCAGGAGGAACACCGGUGGCGAAGGCGGGUCUCUGGGCCGUAACUGACGCUGAGGAGCGAAAGCGUGGGGAGCGAACAGG
rnacentral:rRNA from 1 species